AUUGAACGCUGGCGGCAGGCCUAACACAUGCAAGUCGAACGAGUGGCGGACGGGUGAGUACUGUCUGGGAAACUGCCUGAUGGAGGGGGAUAACUACUGGAAACGGUAGCUAAUACCGCAUCCCAUCGGAUGUGCCCAGAUGGGAUUAGCUAGUAGGUGGGGUAAAGGCUCACUUAGGCGACGAUCCCUAGCUGGUCUGAGAGGCUGACCAGCCAAACUGGAACUGACACACGGUCCAGACUCCUACGGCAGGCAGCAGUGGGGAAUAUGGCACAAUGGGCGCAAGCCGGAUGCAGCCAUGCCGCGUGUAUGAAGAAGGCCGUAGCGUUUUAAAGUACUGUCAGCGGGGAGGCGUUACCCGCAGAAGAAGCACCGGCUAACUCCGUGACAGCAGCCGCGGUAAUUC
rnacentral:rRNA from 1 species